rnacentral:lncRNA from 1 species
GUUUGUUCAAGUACAAAGGUGUUGAGAAUUUUGAAAAUGUCAUUUUUAAAGGUUAUGACAGCAAGAGGAACAAAAUUUAAAAGUAAAAAAGUCAAAAGGGUCAAGAAGAUGACAGAUGCUGCCACAAUACAUAGAAUUUCAAUAUGGGCAAAAAGUGUAUUUUUUUCAAAGAUGCCCAGUAGAACACAUAUCAGCACAAAAGAACAAAUGGCUUGCAUGUUUUUGAAGUCAAACAUGCAGCAUGGCCCUUCCGAGUGGAACGGGCUCAGGUUGCUCCCUUUCAGGAGGAAACACAGCACAGCCAUGCUUUUCUCAACAAGAACACUGCUUGUUUCUUAUUCCUCUAAGGGCAAAGACAUUUUAUAAAAGGACCAGAAAAAAAUCCAUGGUCAACUUUGGAGUAAGAAAUCAAGGAAGAAAAUCAUUAGCAAGCUUAAGUAAUAGCCAGAGAGGCAAUCAGUUAAUAUGAAAUUACAUAAAAUGAAUACACGAGAUCAUUUCCCCAAGCCCUAACUAUGUACUCAUCUGUUCUUUCUACGUCUAUUUUAUUUAACCAUAUAGAGAUAAACGGUAUUUCCCACAGUAAUUAACCAAUGUGGUCACCAAAAGUGAAACAAAAUUUAGGCAGUAUUAAAAGUAUAGACUUCCGAGAGGAGGUGAUGCUAUUGUUUCUAUAAUGCUAAGGGCUUGGAACAUCACGUUUUAACAGGAGGCAGAGAUUACCUGGAACAUGCCCCAAGGAGAUGGGAGUUUCCUAUCACACGGGAACUGGGACUGCUUUUGUUGGAGAAGUGAAGGUCAGAGGUCAAAUUCCAUGAUGCUAUUUCCUGUUAUUAUUUUUUUAACUUCUAUUUAAUGAAUAUAAAUUUCCAAAGUACAGAAUAUUGAUUACAAUGGCUUCCCCCCAUAACAUCCCUCCAACCCGCAACCCUCCCCUUAUCCACUCCCUCUCCCCUUCCAUUUAUAUCAAGAUUCAUUUUCGAUUCUCUUUAUAUACAGAAGAUCAGUUUAGCAUACAUUAAGUAAAGAUUUCAACAGUUUGCUCCCACACAGAAACAUAAAGUGAAAAAUACUGUUUGAGUAUUAGUUAGAGCAUUAAAUCUCAAUGUACAGCACACUAAGGACAAAGAUCCUACAUGAGGAGUAAGUACACAGUGACUCCUGUUGUUGACUUAACAAAUUGACACUCUUGUUUAUGGCCUCAGUAAUCUCCCUAGGCUCUUGUCAUGAGCUGCCAAGGCUAUGGAAGCCCUCUGAGCUCACUGACUCU